GUAUUGCUGAAGAGUCCCAAACUAGGACGAAACAGCUGUCCAUUAC
rnacentral:hammerhead_ribozyme from 1 species